rnacentral:rRNA from 1 species
UGGGGAAUUUUGGACAAUGGGCGAAAGCCUGAUCCAGCAAUGCCGCGUGUGUGAAGAAGGCCUUCGGGUUGUAAAGCACUUUUGUCCGGAAAGAAAUCCUUGGGCUCUAAUACAGUCGGGGGAUGACGGUACCGGAAGAAUAAGCACCGGCUAACUACGUGCCAGCAGCCGCGGUAAUACGUAGGGUGCAAGCGUUAAUCGGAAUUACUGGGCGUAAAGCGUGCGCAGGCGGUUUGCUAAGACCGAUGUGAAAUCCCCGGGCUCAACCUGGGAACUGCAUUGGUGACUGGCAGGCUAGAGUAUGGCAGAGGGGGGUAGAAUUCCACGUGUAGCAGUGAAAUGCGUAGAGAUGUGGAGGAAUACCGAUGGCGAAGGCAGCCCCCUGGGCCAAUACUGACGCUCAUGCACG